UCACGGGGCCGGGUGUCUCUCGGGUCCCCGUGGGCCGAAGAGGCUGGGCGGGGUUCCGUGGCGGCCGCGAGGGGCCCGGAGCCCAGGACUGGGACCGCGGGGCCGACCUUCGGCCCUGCCGAGGUUCCGCGAGUGGCCGGCCUGAGCUCGGCUGGCCCUUUCGGAGGACCGGGAGUUCUCCGUUGGCGGCCCCAGAUGCUCCCGGAAAGAAGCCGCAGUUAUUUCAGAGCCAGCUGCAAACCUAUAGCAGACCCCACGUUAGCUGAAAUGGGAAAAAACUUGAAGGAGGCAAUGAAGAUGCUGGAGGACAGUCAGAGAAGAACAGAAGAGGAAAAUGGAAAGCUCAUAUCUGGAGAUAUUCCAGGCCCACUCCAGGGCAGUGGACAAGAUAUGGUGAGCAUCCUCCAGUUAGUUCAGAAUCUGAUGCAUGGAGAUGAAGAUGAGGAGCCCCAGAGCCCCAGAAUCCAAAAUAUUGGAGAACAAGGUCAUAUGGCUUUGUUGGGACAUAGUCUGGGAGCUUAUAUUUCAACUCUGGACAAAGAGAAGCUGAGAAAACUUACAACUAGGAUACUUUCAGAUACCACCUUAUGGCUGUGCAGAAUUUUCAGAUAUGAAAAUGGCUGUGCUUAUUUCCACGAAGAGGAAAGAGAAGGACUUGCAAAGAUAUGUAGGCUUGCCAUUCAUUCUCGAUAUGAAGACUUCGUAGUGGAUGGCUUCAGUGUGUUAUAUAACAAGAAGCCUGUCAUAUAUCUUAGUGCUGCUGCUAGACCUGACCUGGGCCAAUACCUUUGUAAUCAGCUCGGCUUGCCCUUCCCCUGCUUGUGCCGUGUACCCUGUAACACUAUGUUUGGAUCCCAGCAUCAGAUGGAUGUUGCCUUCCUGGAGAAACUGAUUAAAGAUGAUAUAGAGCGAGGAAGACUGCCUCUGUUGCUUGUCGCAAAUGCAGGAACGGCAGCAGUAGGACACACAGACAAGAUUGGGAGAUUGAAAGAACUCUGUGAGCAGUAUGGCAUAUGGCUUCAUGUGGAGGGUGUGAAUCUGGCAACAUUGGCUCUGGGUUAUGUCUCCUCAUCAGUGCUGGCUGCAACCAAAUGUGAUAGCAUGACGAUGACUCCUGGUCCGUGGCUGGGUUUGCCAGCUGUUCCUGCGGUGACACUGUAUAAACACGAUGACCCUGCCUUGACUUUAGUUGCUGGUCUUACAUCAAAUAAGCCUGCAGACAAACUCCGUGCCCUGCCUCUGUGGUUGUCUUUACAAUACUUGGGACUUGAUGGGAUUGUGGAGAGGAUCAAGCAUGCCUGUCAACUGAGUCAACGGUUGCAGGGAAGUUUGAAGAAAGUGAAUUACAUCAAAAUCUUGGUGGAAGAUGAGCUCAGCUCCCCAGUGGUGGUGUUCAGAUUUUUCCAGGAAUUACCAGGCUCAGAUCCGGUGUUUAAAGCCGUCCCAGUGCCCAACAUGACACCUUCAGCAGUCGGCCGGGAGAGGCACUCAUGUGAUGCGCUGAAUCGCUGGCUGGGAGAACAGCUGAAGCAGCUGGUGCCUGCAAGCGGCCUCACGGUCAUGGAUCUGGAAGCUGAGGGCACGUGUUUGCGGUUCAGCCCUUUGAUGACGGCAGCAGUUUUAGGAACUCGGGGAGAGGAUGUGGAUCAGCUCGUAGCCUGCAUAGAAAGCAAACUGCCAGUGCUGUGCUGUACGCUCCAGUUGCGUGAAGAGUUCAAGCAGGAAGUGGAAGCAACAGCAGGUCUCCUAUAUGUCGAUGACCCUAACUGGCCUGGAAUAGGGGUUGUCAGGUAUGAACAUGCUAAUGAUGAUAAGAGCAAUUUGAAAUCAGAUCCCGAAGGGGAAAAAAUCCAUGCUGGACUCCUGAAAAAGUUAAAUGAACUGGAAUCUGACCUAACCUUUAAAAUAGGCCCUGAGUAUAAGAGCAUGAAGAGCUGCCUUUAUGUCGGCAUGGCGAGCGAUGACGUCGACGCUGCUGAGCUCGUGGAGACCAUUGCGGCCACAGCCCGGGAGAUAGAGGAGAACUCGAGGCUUUUGGAAAACAUGACAGAAGUGGUUCGGAAAGGCAUUCAGGAAGCUCAGGUGGAGCUGCAGAAGGCAAAUGAAGAACGGCUUCUGGAAGAGGGGGUGUUGCGGCAGAUCCCUGUAGUGGGCUCCGUGCUGAAUUGGUUUUCUCCAGUACAGGCUUUACAGAAGGGAAGAACUUUUAACUUGACAGCAGGCUCUCUGGAGUCCACAGAACCCAUAUAUGUCUACAAAGCACAAGGUGCCGGAGUCACACCGCCUCCAACGCCCUCGGGCAGUCGCACCAAGCAGAGGCUUCCAGGCCAGAAGCCUUUUAAAAGGUCCCUGCGAGGUUCAGAUGCUUUGAGUGAGACCAGCUCAGUCAGUCACAUUGAAGACUUAGAAAAGGUGGAGCGCCUGUCCUGUGGGCCGGAGCAGAUCACUCUCGAGGCUAGCAGCACUGAGGGACACCCAGGGGCUCCCAGCCCUCAGCACGCCGACCAGUCCGAGGUCUUCCAGAAAGGGGUCCCACACCCAGAAGAUGACCACCCACAGAUGGGGAAACCAAGGUCCAGAGAUUUAAGACUUACCCAGCCUGUAAACUCUCACCUCUAGUAUUUGCUUGUCAUCUUGCUGCAACCAGAAAUCCACAUGUGGAAAUGCUGUCCAGGAGUACGGUCCUAUACAAAGUUGUUCUGUCUCUGCAUCGUAAAUGCUAAUCAUCUAAAAAAGAACAUGUCAAGGAUAGAAUUUCAGGAAUGUCACCCACUUUUCAAACCCUCCCAGUAACGAAAGCUCCAGUGUAGUCCUUUCAUGCAUUUAUCCGCAUAAGCUUCUUAAAAACUGUCUCAAAUAACAAAAGCUGCCAGCUAGUGAACACGUCCAGUGUGUCUGCUGCUGCACACCGUGAGGCACACACGACUGUGGAGCGCCAACAGCAGUCCCACAGGAUGAGGGUGUUUGAGGCUCAGAGAAACGGGGCCCAUUUCUCAGGUCAUGUGUCCAGUAAGCCUCAGAGCUGGGCCUCAAACCCAGGCACAUCUAACUAAAGUCUGUGUUCCUCAUUGCCUCAUUAUUUAUACCCCAAACAACUGAUCACCUUGCCAUUUAAAAGCAUACAGUGCCUGCUGCCCCAUCAAAAGACGCAGCUAAUUUACCAAAUGAUCCAGUCCUUGAAUUCCCAAAUUUGCCAGUGGCAGCCUCAGCUUACCCAGCAAUAUUCACUUUGGUAACUGACACUGAAAUAUGUUCUGAAUAUCAACUAAACUAGGCCUGUUAAUGCUCCUUGAGAAGUCCUAAAAAUGUUAAAAGGGUUGGCUCUGAAUCCAAACACAUUUUCCAGUGAAAACAUCAGCAUUUCAUAAAUGAUUUCUUUGGGGUGGCCUGAAUGUGAUUUGUUUUUUCACAUUUUGAGCAUUUUUAAAGAAUUCUUUAACCCAUUCCUCAAAUGGCAUAUAAACCUUGGAUUUUCAGUUUUCUAACUUUUAAAAUUACAGUGUAAUUUAAUUAAGCACCCUAAGGGAAUCAGACUUUAAAUUAAUUUGAUCAUUAUUUUGGGUUAAUUAAAUUGUUCCAGCAAAUUACUCUUCAGUGACCCGGUCCAAAAGAAUGCAUAGUCCCGAGUGUAGAGGGAAGAAACCUCUCUCCUGCAUCCCAGGUCUCCUUUCUUUGUAGGAACUUUAUGGGAAAAGCUCUUACAAAGUAACAAAAGUUUGUUCUCUUUGAAUUCGGAUGCUUGGAUUCACACAUACCUCCCACACCUUUUAGGCAGAGAACUGGAGCUGAUGAUGUAAAGAUGUUCAUUACUAUUUUGAGACAAUGAUUUGAAACUCACUGGUCCUCCUGCUAAAGUUCGUGCAGCACGCAGCUGCUCCUCUGGACCCCGAUCUUGAAAGGAGGCUCUGUAAAUCUCUGCAGUCUUAAUGUUGACAGCUGUGAGGGACAACAGGAUGACUCUGAAUUGACAAAAGACCAAAGCGGAAAGUCUGCACAGUCUUACAUUUCUACCACCACUCCUAAGAGAAAGAUAGGAAAGUGAACAGAAUGGCUCCUAAGUGUCUGGAGUUCUCCCUCCCUGGAGGGGGAAAAUGCAACCUUUACCCCAAGCAUCUCGGUGAAAAUCGCUGAGGCCCAAGCUGGACUCGGUGAGAUUUUGUUCUAAACCAAGAGGUGCUUUCCACGUGGGAGGCAGCCAUUCCUUCAGUCGGACAUGUAGCAAAACCUCUGGUCAGCCCUACUGGUGUAUGGCCAGGGGUAGGUGGAUGAACUGUGAUCCUUCUGUUUGAAUCUUCACAAUUUAGUAUUUUAUACAUACACGAAGUUACAGAGAAUAGAACAGUGAACACUGUGUACCUACCACCCAGCUAAAUCAAUUAAGUAUCACCCCUACAGCAGAAGCCCUCUGAAAUAGAGCCGAUUCCAUGAUGCCUUUUCCAUGGGAAUCCUGGGGCUGCCAAGCAGGGGGGAGGAUGGUUCUAGGUUUUCUCUAGCCUGAGAGUUUUACACUUUGGAGGAUUUCUGUUCUCAAGCAAAACCUUCCUCAGUUCCUGAUGUAUAAAAGGAUUCCAGUGCCUGCCCUUCCCCCCCCAGAGCACUGGCAGGAGAAAAGCACGCCGGGCCUGGGGUGCUGGGGAGACAGACAGGGAAACAAAACCAGGCACUCUCCCAGCUCCUGGGAAGGGUGGGCAUGGCCUGUGCUAUUUGCUACCACGUUGCUUCUUCAAAGUCUUAAAAAGUGAAUGCUAUCUCAGUUUUACAGGUAAAGCUUAGAGAAGUUAAGCUACUUGCCCAAGGCCUCACAGCAGAUGUUCGGAGGAGCUGGGAUCUGAACCUAAGGCUGUCCCAUCCUGACAACAGUGGGGUCACUGGUUUGCUUAAUUAGACUUUAACCACACAUGUGACCAGGCCUCCAACCCACAAAAGAUGCACACUACUUACCAAUGCCAUAUAUUAUUGGAAAGUGGUUUUCGUUUUCUUCCCGGUCAUUUAAUUCUACAAAAUAAAAAUGUUUGAGAUAUACUUUUUAAAGAAA